GAUGAACGCUGGCGGCGUGCCUAAUACAUGCAAGUCGAGCGAACGGACGAGAAGCUUGCUUCUCUGAUGUUAGCGGCGGACGGGUGAGUAACACGUGGAUAACCUACCUAUAAGACUGGGAUAACUUCGGGAAACCGGAGCUAAUACCGGAUAAUAUUUUGAACCGCAUGGUUCAAAAGUGAAAGACGGUCUUGCUGUCACUUAUAGAUGGAUCCGCGCUGCAUUAGCUAGUUGGUAAGGUAACGGCUUACCAAGGCAACGAUGCAUAGCCGACCUGAGAGGGUGAUCGGCCACACUGGAACUGAGACACGGCCCAGACUCCUACGGGAGGCAGCAGUAGGGAAGCUUCCGCAAUGGGCGAAAGACUGACGGAGCAACGCCGCGUGAGUGAUGAAGGUCUUCGGAUCGUAAAACUCUGUUAUUAGGGAAGAACAUAUGUGUAAGUAACUGUGCACAUCUUGACGGUACCUAAUCAGAAAGCCACGGCUAACUACGUG
rnacentral:rRNA from 1 species